rnacentral:rRNA from 1 species
AGCGAACGCUAGCGGCGGGCCUAACACAUGCAAGUCGAGCGCAUACCUUCGGGUAUGAGCGGCGGACGGGUGAGUAACACGUAGGUAAUCUACCCUUUGGUGGGGAAUAACCCGGGGAAACUCGGGCUAAUGCCGCACGAGGUCUACGGAUCAAAGCCUUCGGGCGCCAGAGGAUGAGCCUGCGUUGCAUUACCUAGUUGGCGGGGUAACGGCCCACCAAGGGGACGAUGCAUAGCUGGUCUGAGAGGAUGAUCAGCCACACUGGGACUGAGACACGGCCCAGACUCCUACGGGAGGCAGCAGUGGGGAAUAUUGCGCAAUGGGGGGAAACCCUGACGCAGCUACGCCGCGUGGGUGAUGAAGGCCUUCGGUUGUAAAGACCCUGUCGGGAGGGACGGAAUUCUGACGGUACCUCCCAACGAAAGACACCGGCUAACUACCGUGCCAGCAGCCGCGGUAAU